CCACCCGAGCGAGCGAGGCCGGCUGCGCAUGUGAAGCUCGCGUGCUCGGCGACCCGUCUGUUUUGGAUGUAGCUCGUUUGUCGGGCUCCUGGCGUUCUCUUGUGUUCCGUGCGCAUUUCGACAGGGCACAGCUGCACUACUGGACUACAGCAAGGCUGGCCCCGAACAUGGCGAUGUAUCACUCAGGCACGCUGAGCAAAGAACACACCGUUUUUCUUCAAACAGGCAGCCACAGUUCAAAGGAAUGCGGAGUGAGUGCUCUACUUUUUCGCUCGGAGUUGCUCCACCGCGCGCGCGCUCAACAUCGCGGAACAGCACAGCACCGGAAAAAGGUGAUCCGUCGGGCAAGCAGCAACGAAGGCCAUCCGAGGGAGGUCGUGUGUCAGCCAUCUCGCGUCGCCGCGAAAACAUGACAGUCGUUCGUCAUUCGUUGGAUAUAACAACAAAUCCUCCAUGGCACCCGCUUUACAUAACGCAAGAAGGCAGUUGCAAGGACACAAGGAUGUGAAAGAGCCAGCCCAGCGCGGCUCCACGUAGUGCAGACGAGCGCACGCCUAAGAAUCAAAAUACACAGCCAUGCAAUUUGGACGAGAAAACUAGAACGUGGGUAUAUUGGGUGUACCAUUUCACUAAAUGUCAACAAAACUUUCAAAAUACAGUAUGUCACACCAAGAUGAAAAUUCUCACGUGCUCUAGGCAGUUAUCUUAACAUGGUAUAUUUAUGUAAUGUCUCUGAUGGGAAAGUGAAAAUCAAGUAUGCUCUCUGGAGACAAACACAUAGGAGUAAGUGACAUUCAAAAGCUAGAAAUGUGUUUUAAAAAACGCUGAUUAGUUUUGUGAGAAGUGACUGCUUUUUGUCUUGCCUCUCUACAGAUAUAUAUCCAUGUGAUAAAAAAUAGUGGUACAAUGAAAUACCAUAUUUGCUUAGUGACAUGAUACAUACUUGCAAUGAGCACGGUGCCUGUGUUCACUAUGAAAAGCAACAGCUCAUGCUUGGUUAGGCGCUUACAUACAUUUAAUAACUUACAUUUAACAGCACGUGAAUGCAAAGGUGCAAAUACAAACCGCUGUCAUUCUGUAUUUUAAAUGCUGACAUGAAGCAAACCGAUUUUCAUGUCUUCUCUUGUAUCUAUUUCUUACACCUAAUUUUAGAAUUAUUGCUUCCUUUUAGGUUACAGAAAGUGGAAGCAUUGGGGCAAGAGAAUGCCAUGUUUAAGUCAUUAUCAUUUACGUGCCUGCUCACGAAAGCAGUUCAUUAGAACCACUCGUGCCUUCCGAAGCGAAAGCAAGCAGCAAUUAAGACCUCUAUCUGUGUACACCGUGGUGCACGCCUUACGUCUUAGAAACCGUAGAAUCACUUGGAAUUGAAAAUUAUUUUAAAGGUAAAAUUGUGGUUUCCCCUUCUGUGAAGUAGUCAUAUGAUAGCUUCUGGCAGGUAUUCGAUAUUUUGAUUAGGGUGACUCAAUCUACUUGCCAACCAAGUAUGCUAGUGGAGGUAGAGAUGCAUUCAAUGCGAAGAACCGAGAGCAUCUGAGUAGAACACUCGUUCAUGAAUUGGCAGGUGUGAACAUAGAGUGUUAAGCAAAAUCUCCUUAGUUUCGUGGCUUCUGUAGACAUAAUUUUUAUAAGGCAGAAUAAAAUUAAAGCAUUUUUGCACAUGGUAAAUUUCUGGACUUAAGAUAGAGUGCACAGUGAGGCGAUGUAUUAUCUUCCCAGACACACAUGUACUUGUUUUGAGACGAAGAUACUGUGAAGUGCGAUAAUUUUUCUUACUAUAGUGCAUCUUAAUACCUUCAGUAGGAAAAAAGCUUUCGUUUCAGCUAGUUGGUUCAUUGUACAAGUAUAUGCAUAGUCGCAUGCAAAACCCACGUCCAUGGAAGGGACAUGCGAAACAGGAUAGUGCCUUUCUGAAUUUAUGAUUUGCUUCGUUGUUUGCCUUUUUCGUGCACUUCCCUGCCUGUACUUCUGCUUAUGUCGCCUUUGAUUCAUCAUAAUCAUCACAUCUGAUUUUUUGUUCACAUCUGAAGCCAUGCUAUAUUUUAGUUAGAUUGCAUUUUCAUCGAGUCACAAUAAUUGAUCAUGUAGUUAUACAAGCUGCUCCUGUGUAUCUGUUUGUGUCUGUGUAUCUGUUUCUUCUUCGUCCUCGUCCAGUCGCGCUUGUACACUCUACCAUGGAUUCUAACCAACUAGCCCGCCAGCGUGUUUUAACCAUGCUCCUCAGAAGUAUAGCAUACUUACCAUGAGGGGAAUGAAAAGCUACCAUACAUGACAAGACAUUUGAUGCGCAAGAUUUUAAUGCCAAUGCUCCUUGCAUUUUUAUACCCAUUUGCUAUACACUAUAUAAUAUUGUAAAUUUAAUUUUACUUGUGAAAAAGUGUAACGGAUCAAUCCUAAGAGCACCAGGAAACUACUUAUAUGAGGAGGCCAACCGAAUAGGAAAUAUGAUACGCCUCUGUACCACUUUGAGACCUGGCCAGGAUAUUGCUGCAAAGCCACGACAAGACACACUUAGAAAUAAUGGGGUGCAGUCAAUACAUGAAUGACUUUAUGUGAAAUAUAAGCAAAGCCAGCUAGACCUGCGGUGUCCCAUGAGAAUGUACAGCACAUUCUAAAUGCACUGUACUCUCAGUCAGGAACAUUCAUACGCUCUAUAGGGGGUUAUCAGAUGAGCUGCUGUCUUAGAAUAUGGCACACAAAAAAGUUUCUUGCACAAUUUAUCUACAUUACCAGCCCCAUGCUUAGCAGCUCAUCUGAUAACCUCUGCCAUAUAAGUGCAUGCGUUUUGUGCCAGAAAUGCGUUUGCUGGCCAUGUGGCGCAUAUUUCUCUUCAAUCGUAGCGUCAAUACUUUGUGAGCUUGCAUAUGCUUGUUCUAUGUUGAACUUUCCAUGUAUACUUCAUUUGUGAGAAGCUGGAGCCAAAUGUAAAUAAAGGACAUUUCUACACUGUAAUACUGAUGAAACUUUAGAGAAUAUACUUAUGUUUUAUUACUAGAUGUGUUCUAAAGUUCAUGGGC